GAUAACUUAACUUUAAUUUUCAGAAGUAAACGGACAAGAAGAAUUAAGAAAACUACAUCUUAAGCCAAAUCAGGCAGAAGAAUCUAUUCAUGCAUAAUACAGGUACAAAACUUCCUUCUACUAUAUCAUAUCCUUGUCUAGGCAACUCUAAAUUAAUGUUCAGAUAUCUGUAAAUAAACCAUCUGAGUGUAUCCAUUAAAUACAGAUUUGUCAAGGUUGGCCAAACCUAGCCUUUGGAACAAGCCAUACCGACCAUCUUCAACAAUAGGAGUGGGUGCACGAGCAGGAUCAUACCUGGUCUGAUGGGUGAGGGAAGGACCAGCAACCGGAGGUAGUUCCCAGUAAACAUCAAGA
rnacentral:lncRNA from 1 species